rnacentral:lncRNA from 1 species
AAUAGAACUACUUUAUUUUACAAAUGACAUAACUAAUCAAAUUCUGAGGGGAAAAAAUCCAGACAGCCAACACAUAUUCAUUACCAUGAGUGUUGUGCAGGCUGCAUUUUUUUUCCUCACAAGAUUGAUUAAUUAAAUAUUUAUGAAAGAGAAACACCUGGCACACUUCCAUAAACAAAUAGGUCUCCUGUGGGUUUGCAACAGCUGAGGAGAGUUUGGAGGGACUACAGGGAUCUCAGAGUAAAGACUUCCUCACAGCUUGAGUUCUUGCACAUUGCUGUCUGUCAUAAAUAUGCACCAACACACAAAUAAUUUUUAUUUUGAAGACAGAAAGUGAAAUAUCAACAGAUGAAAUCCAAAAGGCAGCCAAAGAAAAAGCUGCUCUUCCAGAUGGAUCUGCUUUUUAGACACUUCCCUGACUCUUCAUCUUCAGUGGAAUGUUUUCACUGAAUAUGAAAGGAAGAAGGACUUCCAACAGUUGACAACCCUUCCCUCCCCCUACCUCCCACUUCUUUUUUUUUUAAGAAGUAAAAGGGACCUCACUUGAUAUGUUUGAGGACAUUGUCACUGGAGUGUAAAACAUUAAAGCUGGCUGAGCAAAGGGACAA